rnacentral:rRNA from 1 species
AGGGUUUGAUCAUGGCUCAGAAUGAACGCUGGCGGCACGCUUAACACAUGCAAGUCGAACGAGAUCUUCGGAUCUAGUGGCAGACGGGUGAGUAACGCGUGGGAACCUGCCCAGUAGUAGAGAAUAACUUGGGGAAACUUAAGCUAAUACUUUAUACGUCCUUCGGGAGAAAGCUUUAUGCGCUAUUGGAUGGGCCCGCGUUAGAUUAGUUUGUUGGUGAGGUAACUGCUCACCAAGGCGACGAUCUAUAGCUGGUCUGAGAGGAUGAUCAGCCACACUGGGACUGAGACACGGCCCAGACUCCUACGGGAGGCAGCAGUGGGGAAUUUUCCGCAAUGGGCGAAAGCCUGACGGAGCAACGCCGCGUGAGGGACGAAGGCCUCUGGGCUGUAAACCUCUUUUCUCAAGGAAGAAGAUAUGACGGUACUUGAGGAAUAAGCCACGGCUAAUUCCGUGCCAGCAGCCGCGGUAAUACGGGAGUGGCAAGCGUUAUCCGGAAUUAUUGGGCGUAAAGCGUCCGCAGGCGGCUUUUCAAGUCUGCUGUUAAAGCGUGGAGCUUAACUCCAUCAUGGCAGUGGAAACUGAAAGGCUUGAGUAUGGUAGGGGCAGAGGGAAUUCCCGGUGUAGCGGUGAAAUGCGUAGAUAUCGGGAAGAACACCAGUGGCGAAGGCGCUCUGCUGGGCCAUUACUGACGCUCAUGGACGAAAGCCAGGGGAGCGAAAGGGAUUAGAUACCCCUGUAGUCCUGGCCGUAAACGAUGAACACUAGGUGUCGGGGGAAUCGACCCCUUCGGUGUCGUAGCUAACGCGUUAAGUGUUCCGCCUGGGGAGUACGCACGCAAGUGUGAAACUCAAAGGAAUUGACGGGGGCCCGCACAAGCGGUGGAGUAUGUGGUUUAAUUCGAUGCAACGCGAAGAACCUUACCAGGGUUUGACAUCCUGCGAACCUCUUAGAAAUUUGAGGGUGCCUUCGGGAAUGCAGUGACAGGUGGUGCAUGGCUGUCGUCAGCUCGUGUCGUGAGAUGUUGGGUUAAGUCCCGCAACGAGCGCAACCCACGUUUUUAGUUGCCAGCAUUUAGUUGGGCACUCUAGAAAGACCGCCGGUGAUAAACCGGAGG